rnacentral:ncRNA from 1 species
GGGCAGUAUCAACCGGAACUGCACCUGUAACUAUCGUUAGAACGUUACUAAUUGAAUAGUAUCUGCCUUGAUCUUGUAAAAGACAGGGACGGAGG